ACAAUGUUGGAAUUUUUAAGCAGCCCUCCAGCCCUUACAAAGGUUCACUUUUUCAGAAGUUUGUCCCUCAUGGUAGGAAACAGAUGGUGGACACUCAGAGGCAUGAUCUAAUGGUCUCCCAGGUUUGAGCAUGGACAUCCAUCACCAGUCUGGUUGGGAAGGCACUGCUGAGUGUGAAUGCUGGCUUGCAUGGCCCCACCAGGCUAGGGAAGAAGGACAGGCAGCUGGUGACUUCUCCAGAGCUGGCUAUUUGUAUUCCUGUAUGUCCACGAUGGCCCAGGCUCCAAGAGUUUUCCAAACUGAAGAGAUUCCUUAGAUUAACAUCCCUCAAGUAAUCUUUCUGCAUUUUAAAUGCGAGUCUUCAUCAGCCAACUGUCUUCCAAUAUUUUCUCUUAGUAUGUAACUCACCUUUUCCCUCCCUUGACAGAGCCUUUCCUCGAUGAGAAAUUUUUAACAGUAAUGGACUCUGAUGGGUAGUUUCUUACUCUUUCUUUUUUACUUUUAGUAAAAGGUAUAUUUUAUAGAUUUAAAUUCCUUAAAACUAAAAA
rnacentral:lncRNA from 1 species